ensembl:snRNA U6 U6 spliceosomal RNA
GUGCUCACUUCGGCAGCACAUAUACUAAAAUUAGAACGAUACAGAGAUUAGCAUGGCCCCUGCACAUGGAUGACAUCCAAAUUCGUGAAGCAUUCCAUAUUUUU